CUUUGAAUAGAUAUGAAAUUCAAGGCGGAAGGAG
ncrna:unclassified sequences L31-Firmicutes ribosomal protein leader